rnacentral:misc_RNA from 1 species
AGAGUGCGGACCGGCUUCGCCGUGACGGGUUGAGGGCUGAAAGAGGGGCCCCGGCGCCGGUCGCGGAGAUCGGUGAUGUCCAGAAAGACCUGACAAGCUCGGGCUGGCCAGGACCGGGCGAGCUAUACGAUGAACUUACCGACAAUAUCAUCGNNACUUGAGGCCGGGCGCGUGCCUGGGUCCAACCUUGGAGGACGGCGGCUGCGAAGGCGCC